UCAAUCCCCAGCAGCCACGUGGCGGCUCACA
rnacentral:piRNA from 1 species